rnacentral:lncRNA from 1 species
CCCUUAACAAUUGAAGACUAUUUAUUAUUAUCAUAAAUUAAAGUACGCAACAUUUUUCAUAAAUUCUUCUACCGCAAAGUUGCAGGCCAAAAGCGUUAACAAAUAAUUCCAGAAACUGAAAGUGAAGGAGAAGAUGUAUUCAUUAAACUUAAAAUACUUAAAGUGCGUAGACAUGCAGCACUCGCUGACUCUUCAACUGCGACUCAGACCAAUACGACUUUCGUCGCAGAUAGAAUGUUGGUCCAUUUAAUUCAGCAGGACUAACUUUUUUUUUUUUUUUUUAAAAAUAGAUAGCAAGCUACCUGCUUCAUUUAUUAAGCUAAAUGAACUGAGUGUACAUGUUGGAAGCAGUUAGGGUUUCCGAAAGAACAGACUAAAGGAGCGAAAAAAAGAAAGAAAGAAGAAUUUUUAUGAUGUUAAAUAACAUGGUAAGGUG